UACGGAGGGUGCAAGCGUUAUCCGGAUUCAUUGGGUUUAAAGGGUCCGCAGGCGGGCUUGUAAGUCAGGGGUGAAAGCCGACAGCUUAACUGUCGAACUGCCUUUGAUACUGCAAGUCUUGAGUGAGGUUGAAGUAGCUGGAAUGUGUAGUGUAGCGGUGAAAUGCUUAGAUAUUACACAGAACACCGAUAGCGAAGGCAGGUUACUAAGUCUUAACUGACGCUGAGGGACGAAAGCGUGGGGAGCGAACAGG
rnacentral:rRNA from 1 species